rnacentral:rRNA from 1 species
AGAGUUUGAUCCUGGCUCAGAUUGAACGCUGGCGGCAUGCCUUACACAUGCAAGUCGAACGGUAACAGGUUAAGCUGACGAGUGGCGAACGGGUGAGUAAUGUAUCGGAACGUGCCCAGUCGUGGGGGAUAACUGCUCGAAAGAGCAGCUAAUACCGCAUACGACCUGAGGGUGAAAGCGGGGGAUCGCAAGACCUCGCGCGAUUGGAGCGGCCGAUAUCAGAUUAGGUAGUUGGUGAGGUAAAGGCUCACCAAGCCGACGAUCUGUAGCUGGUCUGAGAGGACGACCAGCCACACUGGGACUGAGACACGGCCCAGACUCCUACGGGAGGCAGCAGUGGGGAAUUUUGGACAAUGGGCGCAAGCCUGAUCCAGCCGUGCCGCGUGCGGGAAGAAGGCCUUCGGGUUGUAAACCGCUUUUGUCAGGGAAGAAAAGGUUCUGGCUAAUACCUGGGACUCAUGACGGUACCUGAAGAAUAAGCACCGGCUAACUACGUGCCAGCUGCCGCGGUAAUACGUAGGGUGCAAGCGUUAAUCGGAAUUACUGGGCGUAAGCGUGCGCAGGCGGUUAUGCAAGACAGAGGUGAAAUCCCCGGGCUCAACCUGGGAACUGCCUUUGUGACUGCAUGGCUAGAGUACGGUAGAGGGGGAUGGAAUUCCGCGUGUAGCAGUGAAAUGCGUAGAUAUGCGGAGGUACACCGAUGGCGAANGCAAUCCCCUGGACCUGUACUGACGCUCAUGCACGAAAGCGUGGGGAGCAAACAGGAUUAGAUACCCUGGUAGUCCACGCCCUAAACGAUGUCAACUGGUUGUUGGGAGGGUUUCUUCUCAGUAACGUAGCUAACGCGUGAAGUUGA